rnacentral:rRNA from 1 species
AGUGAACGCUGGCGGUAGGCCUAACACAUGCAAGUCGAACGGCAGCACAUUACGUGCUUGCUCUUACGGGUGUCGAGUGGCGGACUUGUGAUGAAUACAUCGGAAUCUACUUUUUCUUGUGGGAUAACGUAGGUAAACUUACGCUAAUACCGCAUACGACCUACUUUUUUAAUCAUUGGAUCUUCGUACCUUUCGCGUUUUAAUUAGCCGAUUUCGGAUUAGCUAGUUGGCUGGGUAAAGGCCCACCAAGGCGACGAUCCGUAGCUGGUCUGAGAGGAUGAUCAGCCACACUGGAACUGAGACACGGUCCAGACUCCUACGGGAGGCAGCAGUGGGGAAUAUUGGACAAUGGGCGAAAGAAGGAUCCAGCAAUACCGCGUGGGUGAAGAAGGACUUCGGGUUGUAAAGCCCUUUUGUUGGGAAAGAAAAGCAGCAGGUUAAUACCCAGCUGUUCUGACGGUACCCAAAGAAUAAGCACCGGCUAACUUCGUG